GUGUCAGCAGCCGCGGUAACACGUAGGAGACAAGCGUUAUCCGGAUUUACUGGGCGUAAAGCGCGUGCAGGCGGUUUGGAAAGUUGGAUGUGAAAGCUCCUGGCUUAACUGGGAGAGGUCAUUCAAAACUACCAGACUUGAGAGUGGUAGAGGAAGGUGGAAUUCCGGGUGUAGUGGUGAAAUGCGUAGAUAUCCGGAGGAACACCAGUGGCGAAAGCGGCCUUCUGGACCAUUUCUGACGCUCAGACGCGAAAGCUAGGGUAGCAAACGGGAUUAGAGACCCCGGUAGUCCUAGCCGUAAACUAUGUUGACUUGGCGUUGGUGGGUUAAUAUCCGCCAGUGCCGUAGCUAACGCGAUAAGUCAACCGCCUGGGGACUACGAUCGCAAGAUUAAA
rnacentral:rRNA from 1 species